AGCGAACGCUGGCGGCAUGCCUAACACAUGCAAGUCGCACGGUCCGGGGGAGACUUCGGGCAGUGGCGGACGGGUGAGUAACGCGUAGGGAUCUAUCCUUGGAUGGGGGACAACCGCGGGAAACCGCGGCUAAUACCGCAUGAUGCCUGAGGGCCAAAGCUUCGAUGAUCUGAUCGUGGCACGCUUGUGCCGCGUGAAUCAGAUCACCAGAGAAANCUGGUGAUGCGAUUCACGCGAUUUGCCUGGCAAAUACGCGACCGCAUCACGGAGNGUCUGGGGAGGAGCCUGCGUCCGAUUAGCUAGUU
rnacentral:rRNA from 1 species